AGAUUCAUCGCUGAUAGAUAGGCAUGCGUUCCAUUAGGCAGUUGGCGGGGUAACGGCCCACCAAGGCGACGAUCGGUAGCUGGUCUGAGAGGACGAUCAGCCACACUGGGACUGAGACACGGCCCAGACUCCUACGGGAGGCAGCAGUGGGGAAUUUUCCGCAAUGGGCGAAAGCCUGACGGAGCAAGACCGCGUGGGGGAAGAAGGCUCUAGUCGUGGAGGCGAAGGCACACAGGGGAGUAGG
rnacentral:rRNA from 1 species